GGGAAGGAGACGCCAGGGAACUAGUUGGUUUGCUCAUGUGCGGCCCACCCCAGACGUCUGGGGUCCGGGGUCGAAGCCCACUUAAAGUACGUUCUUUUCUUCUUCGGUGAACCUUCUCUUCCAGAGCAUUCUUUGCGAGUUCCGCUGGCUUUACAGGAAGUGGGAUCUGCGCCUCUGCUCCAUCCUGGGUCGGGACAACCCCCUCCUCUCAACCGAGCUCCCUACCCUGGCAGGGGUCUCUGCUCUCUGGGGGCCCGGCUUCGGGGCUUGGACUGGAAGGAGUGAUGUGCGUUCGGGAGGCGCAGCGGAAAGCGGUGGGAACUUGGGCAGCGCUGAUGAUCCGGUGACGAUACCACCCCCUGGAUAUUUCGUCUUAGAAAGUUAAAGGAGCUCCUCGGCCACAGAGUACUAACUUAUGGAAGGCGGGGACCGUGGCACCUGGCAUAGGAAAUGUAAUAUUGUAACUCUGUUGAGAAAGGAAAUGAGUUCCGAAGAUACACAUCUCUACCAGAAAUGUUAUUACCAGAGGCAGAAAUAACACAAGCUACAAAGAACGUACUAAAAUGUUUUAGAAAGCGGGAGAAGGAAAUGGUUUAAAAAUAUAUUUAAAUCCAACUAAUAGCUCCUCAAAUAUGCAGGAGCAAUUGGGGUCGGAAGGAAAGCGGGGUGUUUAGAAGCUUUGGGUGUGUUUAAAUUUGGCGAGUUAGGGGGAAGAGACCCUUAUUCAAACUACUUUGGGAACUUUUACACCUGGUCCCUCCCACUUCCUUACCGGUAUAUUGUUUGGGGUAGAACGUGCAGAGAUAAAACGUUUAAAAUGAGUAUAAUACCUUUAAAGUCCUCAAUACUUUGUAUGCUUUGAGCUGCCUAGGCAAACAGAAGCUGUACCUGGAAAUAAUUCACACUGAACGUUCACUCGAAUGUAAAUUCACUGCCGAUUCUAAGUUUAAAAUGAUGUUCAUUAUAAAUCUUUAUUCCCCAAAGAAUCUCACUUCAAUUAGAAGUAACAUUGCACACUGUAGCACUGAUGCCUUCAAAGUGAGUUUAGGAUAAGAGAAUUCAGUUUAGAAUACCGUACUCCUAAAAGAAGGGUGUGAUAACAGUUAUCCACUAAGAGAGAUGCAAUACAAACCGGAAAUUACCACAACUUGUAAUUUCGGUUUUUAAUAUUUGUUUAAUGUCUGUCUAAGGUCUCUCUCCCUCUCUACACAAUAAGCUCUCUGAAGUCAAGGGCCAUAUUUGGUUUUUUUCUCUAUAUACCCGUCACCUAGUACUUGGCAUGGUAGUGUGCACUCAGUGACUUAUCAAAGGCAGGACCUGAAUCUAAGCUGCUGUGAGUGUAUGUUUCAUAAGUUAAAAGACAAGCUAACACUUCUUGAUUAAAAAUGUUGACUGAGUUAGUACAGCUUCUAAUCUACACUGGGUUCCUUUUAAUAAUUCUUAAUUUGGUAUCAUGCUCACUCCAGGGUUAAAGUUCAGGGGGUAGAUCAGACAUAGGCUUCAGGGCAACCCCCCCACACACACACAUGUUUAGAAGGAGUCGUGACACACUUUCCUAAAACGAACAAUUGUCCUUAAUUAUAAUGCUUAGGUAGUCUGUUUGCUGGCCUAAAUUUUUCAUUUGAAAUUAUCAUUACCCAUUGCCACUCACUUUACAUGUUUAGUGUCUGUAGCUCCAGUUCUUUCCAGAUAGAAGAUACACAAUUUAUAUAAAAGGAGUACAUUUUUUUUCCGGGGAGUUGGUAAUAGAUCUAAAUGCAGAUCGGCAAUCUAAUUGGCAAGAUAUGGUAGUUCUUAGUUAGGAGGUGUCAGAAAUUUAAUUUGCUGAACUAAGGAAAUAGUAAUGCAGCCAUCAAUACCAUUUCAACACAGACUAUUUAACAAUUUUUUGUGUGUAUUAUGAAAUAUAUUUAUAACCAAACACUGUAGGACUUAUACAUGAGACCUAUUUUAAACAGGAUAUUCAACAGCAGGUACGUAAUAUCCUGACUUGUUAUUAUUUUGGUAUAAGAAAAGUCUAAAAUAUUAUGGAGAUACUAGCUUUCAAUGUGUCAUGAAAUUCUCUUAGAGUCACUUUCUGAAUAAAGAAAUUUAUUUCUCUGUUCUGCAGCAGAGACUUGUGAGAGGAUUUGUGAAGCUUUAUACAGGGUUUUAGGUGAUCAAAUGUAAUUUCAAAAAUAGUUAUAAUUGAACAUUAUUUCAUUUAAGCGGUUUGGAGUAUUCUCAUGAUACAUACAUUAACUUGAAGACUGUGGAACCCCUCUUUAAUCUAGAAUAUGGAUCUUACAGUUUGUGUUACUGUUCGGGGAAUUAUGAGUGAUUUCUUGAGCAAAACUCUAGGCAUUAUCUACUGAAACAAGAAGCAGUUUUAUGUGUUGUUAAAUCUUAACUAAAGUGUAAUUUCUAUUUUUUAUA